rnacentral:rRNA from 1 species
AGAGUUUGAUCCUGGCUCAGGAUGAACGCUAGCGGCAGGCCUAAUACAUGCAAGUCGAGGGGCAGCACGGUAGCAAUACUGGUGGCGACCGGCGCACGGGUGCGUAACACGUAUACAAUCUGCCUUUAACAGGGGGAUAGCCCGGAGAAAUCCGGAUUAAUACCCCAUAACAAUGAGAAUGGCAUCAUUCUUAUUUAAAA